rnacentral:rRNA from 1 species
GACGAACGCUGGCGGCGUGCUUAACACAUGCAAGUCGAACGGUAAGGCCCUUCGGGGUACACGAGUGGCGAACGGGUGAGUAACACGUGGGUGAUCUGCCCUGCACUUCGGGAUAAGCCUGGGAAACUGGGUCUAAUACCGGAUAGGGCCACUGCCUACAUGGGUGGUGGUGGAAAGCUUUUGCGGUGUGGGAUGGGCCCGCGGCCUAUCAGCUUGUUGGUGGGGUGAUGGCCUACCAAGGCGACGACGGGUAGCCGGCCUGAGAGGGUGACCGGCCACACUGGGACUGAUAUACGGCCCAGACUCCUACGGGAGGCAGCAGUGGGGAAUAUUGCACAAUGGGCGCAAGCCUGAUGCAGCGACGCCGCGUGAGGGAUGACGGCCUCCGGGUUGUAAACCUCUUUCAGCACCGACGAAGCGCAAGUGACGGUAGGUGCAGAAGAAGGACCGGCCAACUACGUGCCAGCAGCCGCAGUAA